CGGCAACAGCUCAAAUUUGAAAUCUGGCCCUCUCAGGGUCCGAGUUGUAAUUUGGAGAGGAUGCUUCGGAUAGGCUUUGGUUUAAGUUUCUUGGAACAGAACGUCAUAGAGGGUGAGAGUCCCGUCUAGAACCUAUAGCCGCGUCCAUGUGAAACUCCUUCGAC
rnacentral:rRNA from 1 species